UACGGAGGGGGCUAGCGUUAUUCGGAAUUAUUGGGCGUAAAGAGCGUGUAGGCGGUCCGGUAAGUCAGCUGUGAAAGUCAAGGGCUCAACCCUUGAAUGCCGGUUGAUACUGUCGGGCUAGAGUCCGGAAGAGGCGAGUGGAAUUCCCGGUGUAGCGGUGAAAUGCGCAGAUAUCGGGAGGAACACCAAUGGCGAAGGCAGCUCGCUGGGACGGUACUGACGCUGAGACGCGAAAGCGUGGGGAGCAAACAGG
rnacentral:rRNA from 1 species